rnacentral:lncRNA from 1 species
AUGACUGGAAAGCGCCGAAGUGCUUUGGGCGCAGGCAGAGGUCGGAGGAAGAGGUCUGCAAUUACACGGGAAGAGAAGUUAGGCAUUAUUCAGAAGUGGGAAGGCGGCCAGAAGUUGUCUGCCAUCGCUCGUGAGGUGAGACACCCACCGGUGUCCACGGUGAGCACCAUGAGGGGCAAACGCCUCAGCACGAAGCGCUCGGCACUCAAAUCCCCCGUGCCCGUCACGACGAUGCAGAGGCAGGGCGCGAUCUCGGAGAUGGAGACGCUGCUCACCGAUUGGAUCGAGGAUAUGAGUCGCCAGGGGCGCAUCCAGCAGGAGAAGAGCCUCUCGCUCUGCGAGGAAUUCGAGGAGAAGACGCCGGAGGCCAUCGCCGAGGGCUCCUUCGGCGCGAGCCGCGGCGGGCUGCGCCGCCACCAGAAGCGCGCCAACGUGCGGCAGGCGGCGCCGAGCGCGCUGGAGCUCAAGGAGGAGCAGCUGGACUCGGAGGUCCCCGAGGACAUCCAGGUGACCAUAGGCGAGGACGAAGGGGAAGCGCUGCCCGGUGUCGGAGAGCUCGCCGGGCUCGAGGCGCUCGUGGCGGCGGGGCGGCGCGCGGAGCCGCGCUUUACGGCGGAGGGACUCGCCGAGGCUUUCCGGCUCGUGGACGCAUCUCUGUCCAAGAUCGAGUCCAUGGACCCCAACGUGGAGAGGUUCGUGGACUUCAGCCGCCGCAUCUACGCCGACCUGUCCGCGUACAGGCGCAUCCAGAAGGAGAAGAAGCUGGAGUCGACGCAGUGCACGCUCGACACGUUCAUUCGGAAGCUGAGCGAAGCGCGCGCACGGGAGCCGGCGCAGGCUCAGCCCUCGGCGUCCGCGUCCAGGUGGCUGGAGAUGCUUGCGGACAAAGAGCUGGGCUGCACAAACCACCUUCUCCAGUGACUUCUAUCUGGUGAGUUUUUCCAGGCCAUUCAUUUCACUGAAUUGUUAGUUUACAUUUAUUUAGCAGACACUUAUUCUCCAAAAUGACUUCCAGUGAACUCUAUGUAGUGUUACCAGCCCACAUACCUUAUUCACCAAGGUGACUUACACUGCUAGAUACACUACUUACAAUGUGCACUCAUCUGUACAUCAGUGGAACUCACUCUCACACUGGGGGAACCUGCACAGCAUGUGUUUGGAGUAUGGGAGGAAACCCAUGCAGACACGGGGAGAAUGUGCAAAAUCCACACAGACUGAGCGGGGAUCAAACCCAUGUCCCCUCGCACUACCUAGGCGCUGUGAGACAGCAGCACUGCUCGUUGUGCUACCAGCCUCAUUAGGGGCGAGUGGUACCUUAGUAGGAGAAACGCAGCGUUGCUCCUCACAGCUCCUGAGUGCUGCUUUUAGGUCUGGGGUUUUAUUUCUGCUUAGUCUGUGCGCACACUGCAUAUUCGCAUGGCAUCCAUGUGGGACACACACACACCCCCCCCCCCCCCCAGCGAUACCUGAUUUCCA